GAUCAUGGCUCAGGAUGAACGCUAGCGACAGGCCUAACACAUGCAAGUCGAGGGGCAGCGGAGAGGUAGCAAUACCUUUGCCGGCGACCGGCGCACGGGUGAGUAACACGUAUGCAAUCCACCUGUAACAGGGGGAUAACCCGGAGAAAUCCGGACUAAUACCCCACUAAUAUGGGCGUCUCCGCAUGGAGGGGUUUCGUAUUAAAGAAGAGCAUUUAGUU
rnacentral:rRNA from 1 species